rnacentral:lncRNA from 13 species
UAUGCUUUUAUAAGACUGAGAGUGGCUGGGAGUGGUAGCUCACGCCUCUAAUCCCAGCACUUUGGGAAGCUAAGGCGGGCGGAUCACCAGGUCAGGAGUUUGAGACCAGCCUGGUUAAUACGGUGAAAUCCCAUCUCUACUAAAAAUACAAAAAUUAGUGGGGCGUGGUAGCGUGCACCUGUAGUCCCAGCUACUUGGAAGGCUGAGUCAGGAGAAUCGUUUGAACCCAGGAGGUGGAGGCUGCAGUGAGCUGAGAUUGCACCACUGCACUCCAGCCUGGGUGACAGAGGGAGACACCAUCUCAAAAAAAAGGACUGACAGCACAAGAUUUGUUUAUACCAGCAUCAUCACAAACUUGUGAGUUGUGUUGCGCUACAAUGUCACAAUGGCUAUUGUAACUGCCCAGUGGGUUUACCUUGCCUGCUGCCUAGACAGAACUGAUUUAUAAAGACGGGGAAUUGCGAUGGAGAAAGAGUAAUUCACGCAGAGCUGCUGUGCAGGGGACUGGAGUUUAUUAGUACUCAAAUCAGUCACCCCAAGUAUUCAGGAAUCAACAUUUUCAAAGAUAAUUUGGCGGAACCACCCAUUGCCUGCCUUGCCCUCCAUCCUGUGCUUAUAAAAACUUCAUACCCAGCUGGCAGAGAGGAGAAGCAGCUGGACAUCAGAGACUAUGGCUGGAUGUUGAAAAAAACACUUUAGGUAUGAAGGCAGUGGCUCAGAUAAUGCUCAGAGGGCUGAAACGUGCCUGA